AUUGCACGCUGGCGGCAGGCCUAACACAUGCAAGUCGAACGGCAGCACAGAAGAGCUUGCUCUUUGGGUGGCGAGUGGCGGACGGGUGAGUAAUGUCUGGGAAACUGCCCGAUGGAGGGGGAUAACUACUGGAAACGGUAGCUAAUACCGCAUAACGUCGCAAGACCAAAGUGGGGGACCUUCGGGCCUCACACCAUCGGAUGUGCCCAGAUGGGAUUAGCUAGUAGGUGGGGUAAUGGCUCACCUAGGCGACGAUCCCUAGCUGGUCUGAGAGGAUGACCAGCCAAACUGGAACGGAGACACGGUCCAGACUCCUACGGGAGGCAGCAGUGGGGAAUAUUGCACAAUGGGCGCAAGCCUGAUGCAGCCAUGCCGCGUGUAUGAAGAAGGCCUUCGGGUUGUAAGGUACUUUCAGCGGGGAGGAAGGCGGUGAGGUUAAUAACCUUGCCGAUUGACGUUACCCGCAGAAGAAGCACCGGCUAACUCCGUGCCAGCCGCCGCCGUAA
rnacentral:rRNA from 1 species